rnacentral:ncRNA from 1 species
GCACUCCGGAGAAGCCCGGCAACGGGGACCGAAGGGGCAAACGGCGCUCUGCCGUCAAUCUCUCAGGUAAAAGGACGGAUA